CUCGGAUCAGGUAGGGAUACCCGCUGAACUUAAGCAUAUCAAUAAGAAAGAGGA
rnacentral:rRNA from 1 species